UGCGGCUGCUGGAAGGGGCGGCUCCCCCAGACAUGUCAUCAAGCUCCGUGGCCCCUCUGCUCCCUUGCUACCCUGGACACUGGGAGCUGGUGCUGGCCCCAGCCUCAUUUUCUUCAGCCACACCUCAUUAGUCCUAAUGUGCUGAUUGGAAGACCAUAGGAAGGGGCGGGCAUGGGAGCAGAGCAGGCUCCCAGCCCCUCAGGGGCCUAGCAGUUGAUUGCCUCUGCCCUCCCUUCCUCUGGCAGAAAGCCAGGGAGCUGGAACUUUGUUAUCUGGGUAAUCUGCUUUAGAGCUUGGCCUCCCAGGUCUUAGGGCCACUUCCUAAAGGCUGUGCACCCUGACCCCAGGAAGGAGGAGAGGAGUUGCAGGUGCACAGCCCUGCUGGCUGAGCAGCUGGGACGCCAGGCUUGCCUGGGGAACGGCCGCACCACCCCUCGCCCUCCUCGCCCGGGCUGUGCUGGACCUGGGUACAGCGUAGGGCCUCCUGACCCAGCCUUGCCAGGGCAAAGGGCACCAAGCCUUGGAAAGGGGAUGCCCCCAAGAGUGCCAGUUCAGCCAGCUGCCCCACCCCUCAGGCCCAGCCUGGCCCCCAAGUCCCCCACUGAGGUGCCCCAAGAAGUCCUGUGGGCAGACGUCUCCCACCAUGGCCGAGCACCUGGAGCUGCUGGCAGAGAUGCCCAUGGUGGGCAGGAUGAGCACCCAGGAGCGGCUCAAACAUGCCCAGAAGCGCCGUGCCCAGCAGGUGAAGCUGUGGGCCCAGGCUGAGAGGGAGGCCCAGGGCAGGAAGGGCCCUGGCGAGCAGUCCCAGAAGGAGGCAGCCGGCCAGGGCCAGCAGAAGCAGGUUCUCUUCCCUCCCAGUGUCGUCCUUCUGGAGGCUGCUGCCCGGAGUGACCUGGAGGAAGUCCUCCAGCUCCUCAAGAGUGGGGUCAGCCCUGACCUGGCCAAUGAAGACGGCCUGACGGCGCUGCACCAGUGCUGCAUCGAUGACUUUCAAGAGAUGGUGCAGCAGCUCCUGGAAGCCGGGGCUGACGUUAAUGCUCGAGACAGUGAGUGCUGGACGCCGCUGCAUGCUGCAGCCACCUGUGGCCACCUGCAUCUUGUGGAGCUCCUCAUUUCCAGUGGUGCAGAUCUCCUGGCAGUAAACACUGAUGGAAAUAUGCCUUACGACCUGUGUGAGGAUGAGCAGACUCUGGACUGCCUGGAGACAGCCAUGGCUAACCGCGGUAUCACCCAAGAGAGCAUUGAGGAGGCCCGGGCAGUGCCAGAGCUUCACAUGCUGGAUGACCUCCAGAGUCUGCUGCAUGCUGGGGCUGACCUCAAUGAGCCCCUGGAUAAUGGGGCCACGCUGCUGCACAUCGCUGCUGCUAACGGGUUCAGUGAGGCAGCUGCCCUGCUGCUGGAGCACGGAGCCAGCCUGAGCGCCAAGGACCAGGAUGGCUGGGAGCCACUGCACGCCGCAGCGUACUGGGGCCAGGUGCACCUGGUGGAGCUGCUGGUGGCACUCGGCGCCGACCUGAAUGGAAAGUCGCUGCUGGAUGAGACGCCCCUAGACCUGUGUGGGGACGAGGAGGUGAGGGCGAAACUCUUGGAGCUGAAGCACAAGCAGGACGCACUCCUUCGAGCCCAGGGCCGGCAGCGCUCCCUGCUGCGCCGGCGGACCUCCAGUGCAGGCAGCCGCGGGAAAGUGGUAAGGCGAGUGAGCCUGACCCAGCGCACAAACCUGUACCGCAAGGAACACGCCCAGGAGGCCAUUGUGUGGCGGCAGCCACCACCCACCAGUCCUGAGUCACCUGAGGAAGACGAGGACCGUCAGACAGACGCUGAGCUCCGCCUGCAGCACCCAGAGGAGGACCCUAAGGACCCCAAGCCGGCCGGGACACACAAUGGCCGCGCAGGACUCCCCCCAGGAAGGCACCUGUACUCCAAGAGGCUGGACCGGAGCGUAUCCUACCAGUUGAGCCCACUGGAGAGUACUGCUCCUGACGCCGCUGUCCGGGACAGGGCUCACCACACCCUGGCACAGCUCAAGCGUCAGCGAGCUGCUGCCAAGCUGCAGCGGCCACCCUCCGAGGGGACUCAGGUCCCCGUGGUCAGCCUGCAGGACUCUGAGAACUCUCAGCCUGAUGGUGGCCCCAGGGCCGUGGGGGACCCACCUCUGCUCAGGCUCACAGCCCCCUGCGAGGAGGCCCCUGUGGAGAAGAGGCCAUGUUGUCUGCUCAUGUGAGGGGCUGAGGGACCCCCCGGCCGCUGCUCUGGAGCCCCCCGGGGGGACGUCCCCUGCUGCUGCUCUGGAGCCCCCCGGGGGGUCGUCCCCUGGUGCUGCUCUGGAGCCCCCCAGGGGGACGUCCCCUGGUGCUGCAGGGGACGGCCAGCACAGCGCCUCUCCUGGCUCCGGCUGCCCUCUCAGGGAUGGACCUGUGGGCUCGAAGGCCGCAAAGGCCGUUUGUCCUGAGACUUGAUAAAGGCUGCCUACCCCCAGGCCUUCCUGUGUGUCUCUGGGGAGGGGCAGGUGGUGCGUCUGGGUUAGGGGCCUCCAUGCCUGUGGGUGCAUGCUAGAGCUUGCAGGAGGCAGCCCAUGCCGCUGUGUGGGAGAACUUUAGACACAGGCGAGAAGCUUAGUCUCCAUCCACACCCUCCCUGGCUGCAAGCUGCUUCUUGUACGCUCCUUUCCUGGGGACAGCAGGGAAUGUUAGAACCAGGGCUGAAGGUGACCAAACAGCAUGGGGACUCCAGCCUGCCAGUGUUUCUCACAGGACUCUUGGGCUGGACAGCGAGCAGAACGGGAACAGGGCCAUCGCCAGACACUUCCCAGGGGGAUGGGUCCCCAGCCUGGCGUGCAACGUGACCUCGGGCCUGCUGCCGCCUCAGCCACCCAGCCAGGGUGGCACAGGGGACAAGCAGCCGGCCACUUGGGCAUGGCUGGCUGGCACAGUGUGGCCCCUUCG